AGAGUUUGAUCAUGGCUCAGGAUGAACGCUAGCGGGAGGCCUAACACAUGCAAGCCGAGCGGUAGAUUACUUUCGGGUAAUUGAGAGCGGCGUACGGGUGCGGAACACGUGUGCAACCUGCCUUUAUCAGGGGGAUAGCCUUUCGAAAGGAAGAUUAAUACCCCAUAAUAUAUUAUUCGGCAUCGGGUGAUAUUGAAAACUACGGUGGAUAGAGAUGGGCACGCGCAAGAUUAGCUAGUUGGUGAGGUAACGGCUCACCAAGGCGACGAUCUUUAGGGGGCCUGAGAGGGUGAUCCCCCACACUGGUACUGAGACACGGACCAGACUCCUACGGGAGGCAGCAGUGAGGAAUAUUGGACAAUGGGUGGAAGCCUGAUCCAGCCAUCCCGCGUGCAGGAAGACGGCCCUAUGGGUUGUAAACUGCUUUUAUCUGGGGAUAAACCUACUUACGUGUAAGUAGCUGAAGGUACCAGAAGAAUAAGCACCGGCUAACUCCGUGCCAGCAGCCGCGGUAAUACGGAGGGUGCAAGCGUUAUCCGGAUUUAUUGGGUUUAAAGGGUCCGUAGGCGGACUGAUAAGUCAGUGGUGAAAUCCGACAGCUUAACUGUCGAACUGCCAUUGAUACUGUUAGUCUUGAG
rnacentral:rRNA from 1 species